CACCGAGAAUGAUGGACUUGGAU
rnacentral:siRNA from 1 species